CGCUAGCUACAGGCUUAACACAUGCAAGUCGAGGGGCAGCAUGGUCUUAGCUUGCUAAGGCCGAUGGCGACCGGCGCACGGGUGAGUAACACGUAUCCAACCUGCCGUCUACUCUUGGACAGCCCUCUGAAAGGAAGAUUAAUGCAAGAUGGCAUCAUGAGUCCGCAUGUUCACAUGAUUAAAGGUAUUCCGGUAGACGAUGGGGAUGCGUUCCAUUAGAUAGUAGGCGGGGUAACGGCCCACCUAGUCUUCGAUGGAUAGGGGUUCUGAGAGGAAGGUCCCCCACAUUGGAACUGAGACACGGUCCAAACUCCUACGGGAGGCAGCAGUGAGGAAUAUUGGUCAAUGGGCGAGAGCCUGAACCAGCCAAGUAGCGUGAAGGAUGACUGCCCUAUGGGUUGUAAACUUCUUUUAUAAAGGAAUAAAGUCGGGUAUGGAUACCCGUUUGCAUGUACUUUAUGAAUAAGGAUCAGCUAACUCCGUGCCAGCAGCCGCGGUAAUACGGAGGAUCCGAGCGUUAUCCGGAUUUAUUGGGUUUAAAGGGAGCGUAGAUGGAUGUUUAAGUCAGUUGUGAAAGUUUGCGGCUCAACCGUAAAAUUGCAGUUGAUACUGGAUAUCUUGAGUGCAGUUGAGGCAGGCGGAAUUCGUGGUGUAGCGGUGAAAUGCUUAGAUAUCACGAAGAACUCCGAUUGCGAAGGCAGCCUGCUAAGCUGCAACUGACAUUGAGGCUCGAAAGUGUGGGUAUCAAACAGGAUUAGAUACCCUGGUAGUCCACACGGUAAACGAUGAAUACUCGCUGUUUGCGAUAUACAGCAAGCGGCCAAGCGAAAGCGUUAAGUAUUCCACCUGGGGAGUACGCCGGCAACGGUGAAACUCAAAGGAAUUGACGGA
rnacentral:rRNA from 1 species